rnacentral:ribozyme from 1 species
GAAGAAGAAGAAGAAUACAGACCAGAAGGCAAAAAAGACAAAAAGACAACAAAAACAACGAAAGCAAGUAACAGCAACAACAUCACCAACUCCAAAACCAAAGGACUGAGCGACUAUGAAAGAGAAAGACAAGAGAGAAUCCAACAAAAUCAGGCUUUUCUCUCUCAACUU